rnacentral:rRNA from 1 species
GAUGAACGCUGGCGGCGUGCCUAAUACAUGCAAGUCGAGCGAACAGACGAGGAGCUUGCUCCUCUGACGUUAGCGGCGGACGGGUGAGUAACACGUGGAUAACCUACCUAUAAGACUGGGAUAACUUCGGGAAACCGGAGCUAAUACCGGAUAAUAUAUUGAACCGCAUGGUUCAAUAGUGAAAGACGGUUUUGCUGUCUCUUAUAGAUGGAUCCGCGCCGCAUUAGCUAGUUGGUAAGGUAACGGCUUACCAAGGCAACGAUGCGUAGCCGACCUGAGAGGGUGAUCGGCCACCCUGGAACUGGGACACGGUCCAGACUCCUACGGGAGGCAGCAGUAGGGAAUCUUCCGCAAUGGGCGAAAGCCUGACGGAGCAACGCCGCGUGAGUGAUGAAGGUCUUCGGAUCGUAAAACUCUGUUAUUAGGGAAGAACAAAUGUGUAAGUAACUAUGCACGUCUUGACGGUACCUAAUCAGAAAGCCACGGCUAACUACGUG